AGUCAAAUUUCUGAAGAAAAAUUGUUCUCUGAUAAAUAUCAAAAAAAAAAAAAAAAAAAACACCAUUGCAAUACCAAUAAAUUUCUCGCUUCGAAUCUAAAACGAUACACAUAGUGAAACCGUUGAAAAACUAUUGUACUAUUAAUUUCGCAACGAGUAUCAAAUAAUUCGUACGACGUCAAGACAUAUAUAUUAUUUUUAAAACAUACAAUAAUAUUACAAAAGCCCCAAUAUCGUUUUCAUCGUUUUGUGCCUAAUAACAAUAACAACGGUUGUUGUGUUCUCGCAUUCCCGUCAUAAUAACGUUUUACUUUUCCAGUGGAUUAAAUCAUCGGCUGCUAUACGGUUGUACAUAAUACAAUAAUAUUAUUAUUUCUGACGUACCGUUCAGUCAACACUCACGAUGACGGAUUAGCGAUGAGCGCACCAUUUCGGUUUCAUUAUCGUUUGUAUUAUUCAUAAUACCAUCACGAGUGAAAAAUAUCAUUUUCGUCGUAUUAUUU